GACGAACGCUGGCGGCGUGCUUAACACAUGCAAGUCGAACGGAAAGGCCCUGCUUUUGUGGGGUGCUCGAGUGGCGAACGGGUGAGUAACACGUGAGUAACCUGCCCUUGACUUUGGGAUAACUUCAGGAAACUGGGGCUAAUACCGGAUAGGAGCUCCUGCUGCAUGGUGGGGGUUGGAAAGUUUCGGCGGUUGGGGAUGGACUCGCGGCUUAUCAGCUUGUUGGUGGGGUAGUGGCUUACCAAGGCUUUGACGGGUAGCCGGCCUGAGAGGGUGACCGGCCACAUUGGGACUGAGAUACGGCCCAGACUCCUACGGGAGGCAGCAGUGGGGAAUAUUGCACAAUGGGCGGAAGCCUGAUGCAGCAACGCCGCGUUCGGGAUGACGGCCUUCGGGUUGUAAACCGCUUUCGCCUGUGACGAAGCGUUAGUGACGGUAAUGGGUAAAGAAGCACCGGCUAACUACGUG
rnacentral:rRNA from 1 species